GGGCCCGCACAAGCGGUGGAGCAUGUGGUUUAAUUCGAUGAUACGCGAGGAACCUUACCAGGGCUUAAAUGGGAGAUGACAGGGGCAGAGACGCCCUUUUCUUCGGACAUCUUUCAAGGUGCUGCAUGGUUGUCGUCAGCUCGUGCCGUGAGGUGUCAGGUUAAGUCCUAUAACGAGCGCAACCCCUACCGUUAGUUGCCAGCGAUUCAAGUCGGGGACUCUAGCAGAACUGCCAGCGCAAGCUGAGAGGAAGGUGGGGACGACGUCAAGUCAUCACGGCCCUUACAUCCUGGGCCACACACGUGCUACAAUGGUAGUGACAGAGGGCAGCUACCCCGUAAGGGGAUGCGGAUCUAUAAAACCGAUCUCAGUUCGGAUCGGGGUCUGCAACUCGACCCCGUG
rnacentral:rRNA from 1 species